UAGUAACGGCGAGUGAAGCGGGAAGAGCUCAAGCUUAAAAUCUCCGUGCAAGUUUUGCGCGGCGAAUUGUAGUCUAUAGAGGCGUGGUCAGCGUGGGCGCUUGGGGCAAGUUCCUUGGAAGAGGACAGCAUGGAGGGUGAUACUCCCGUUCAUCCCUGAGUGGCUCGUGCGUACGACCCGUGUUCUUUGAGUCGCGUUGUUUGGGAAUGCAGCGCAAAGUAGGUGGUAAAUUCCAUCUAAAGCUAAAUAUUGGUGCGAGACCGAUAGCGAACAAGUACCGUGAGGGAAAGAUGAAAAGAACUUUGAAAAGAGAGUUAAAGAGUACCUGAAACUGCUGAAAGGGAACCGAAUCGUUUCCAGUGUCUAUAAUCCGUGGCAUAUUUCAUUGGCGAGUGUGCGCGUGCGUGUGCUGUGGCAGUGGCUUUUUUGGCUGCGCUCGGUGUGUGUGCUGUGUGUGCUUGCUGGUGCCCUGUGCUGCGGUGGGACGUCAAGGUCAGUUCGUAUGCUGCGGGAAAUGGCUGCCGAGGAGGUAGGGCUUACGCUCCGCGUUUGUCUGUUAUAUCUUGGUGGACGAGUCGUCGCGGUUGGGACUGAGGUGCCUACAACGUGCUUUUGAGUGGGUUUGUGUCUCCGUGUGCGCCGUGUGCGGAUAGCUUGCUAUGCGUGUGUGGUUGUGUGUGGAUUGAUGCGGGCUUUAACUUGUCGCCGUUC
rnacentral:rRNA from 4 species